GACAUGGUUAUCCAGAGCUAGGAGGUUCUCUGACACCCUGAGCAGCACCCACCACUGGCAACAUUUCCUCUUUGUGGCUUCACUGUUCACAAAAUGGGCUGCACAAUGAGGGCAGUAUGUGAGAGGGUGCAGGGCUGUGGUGUCUGGUUCUGUGGGGGCCAGGCAGGAGGGGGACAAGGAGCUUGUCAUGUGUGAGCUGCUUUGCCCCAGGGACAAGGUGAGCAUGGAUUUUCCAGAGUUUCUGUUCUGGAAGAGAGCAGGUUACAAGUGUUUUAACUCUUCUAAGUCCCUUGGUUUUUGAAGGUCUGUCUCAUGGGGCGAGACAGCACCAGAGUGAGAUAAUGGUAGUGGAAGCUCAAUCUGUCUUUGCAGCCAGGAUGCAGCAGCACGGCCAUCCCAGCAGCAGGACAAUCCCUUAGGGGCCAAUUUUGCUCUGCUGCUGUGUUAGUUUGUGACACUGGCACCAGUGUGGCACUGGGAGGAAUAUGGCACAAGGAGCAGCGUGGCACUAGGAGCAGUGAAUGUGACACGAGGAGCAGUGUGACACGAGGAGCAGUGUGACACGAGGAGCAGUGUGACACAAGGAGCAGUGUGACACAUGGAGCAGUGAGUGUGACACGAGGAGCAGUGUGACACAAGGAGCAGUGUGACACAAGGAGCAGUGAGUGUGACACAAGGAGCAGUGAAUGUGACACGAGGAGCAGUGUGACACAAGGAGCAGUGUGACACAUGGAGCAGUGUGACACAAGGAGCAGUGUGACACAAGGAGCAGUGUGACACGAGGAGCAGUGUGACACAAGGAGCAGUGUGACACAAGGAGCAUUAUUACAGGCCAGUCCCCAGCCUGCUAGUGCUUCUGCUUGGACAAAUUAUGAGUUGUGUACAGGUCUCUCAUCCAAUCUGGAAGUGACUGCCAAAGGAAAGCACCACAAAAUGUGAUCUGAAAAAAAUUAAGUCAAGGUCAUGAAAAGAUGUGAAGGAGUCUCCUGCCUUGCCACUCCUGCUGACACCAGGUUGGAACACCAGCUGGGAUCAUCCUGUCACAGUCUGCACCUCUGUGACUAAGGAGAAAAGUUCAGCUGCCAAGAUGUUCAAUCUGGAACUCCUCAUUAAAAAAAAUUCCAUUAGAAGUUAUAUCUUUUAUAAAUGGCCUAUAUAUUAUGACAUAAUUUAAUUUAGUGCUCUGAAUAUAUUAUGGCCACCAUAAUAGUU